rnacentral:tRNA from 1 species
UAGAAUGUAGUGUAUGUGGUAGCACGAAGAAUUUUGAGUUCUUAAGGUUAGGUUCGAGACCUAUAAUUCUAG